rnacentral:rRNA from 1 species
UACGAAGGGAGCUAGCGUUGUUCGGAAUCACUGGGCGUAAAGCGCACGUAGGCGGAUGUGUCAGUCAGGGGUGAAAUCCCGGAGCUCAACUUCGGAACUGCCCUUGAUACAGCACGUCUUGAGUCCGAUAGAGGUGGGUGGAAUUCCUAGUGUAGAGGUGAAAUUCGUAGAUAUUAGGAAGAACACCGGUGGCGAAGGCGGCCCACUGGAUCGGCAUUGACGCUGAGGCGCGAAAGCCAGGGGAGCAAACGGG